CGUAGGGUGCAAGCGUUGUCCGGAAUUAUUGGGCGUAAAGAGCUCGUAGGCGGUUUGUCGCGUCGGCUGUGAAAGCCCGGAGCUCAACUCCGGGUCUGCAGUCGAUACGGGCAGACUUGAGUGUUGCAGGGGAGACUGGAAUUCCUGGUGUAGCGGUGAAAUGCGCAGAUAUCAGGAGGAACACCGGUGGCGAAGGCGGGUCUCUGGGCAACAACUGACGCUGAGGAGCGAAAGCGUGGGAGCGAACAGGAUU
rnacentral:rRNA from 1 species